CGCGUAGGCGGUCUGAUAAGUCAGAUGUGAAAGGUACCGGCUCAACCGGUGACGUGCAUUUGAAACUGUCAGACUUGAGUAUUGGAGAGGCAAGUGGAAUCCCUAGUGUAGCGGUGAAAUGCGUAGAUAUUAGGAGGAACACCAGUGGCGAAGGCGGCUUGCCGGACAAAUACUGACGCUGAGGUGCGAAAGCGUGGGGAGCGAACA
rnacentral:rRNA from 1 species